GACGAGGUGGCCGAGUGAGUGGUUAAGGCGAUGCACUGCUAAUGGAUUGGGGUCUCUCGCGUGAGUUCGAAUCUCAUCCCUCGUCG